GCAGGUGUGCGCGCUCAGCAGGUGUGCGCGCUCAGGCGUGUCCGCACGGCGCUGGGGAGAGGAGAGAUCUUGCUUUGAAUUCUCCUUUCUCCUGGGUAUAUACUCAUAAGUGAACUGCUGGAUCACAUGCUCGUGAUCCACAGUGAAUCACUUUUCGCUUUGGCUGCCAGGAGUCCAGAGUCAAGCGCGAGCCUCCCUGCCUCCCUCACACUGCGCUCGGCCCCCUGAGGCUCCCUGGUCGCCAAGACCACAGGUGGGUGAUUCAGGAGACAGAGGCCGUGAUGGGAGGGCUGCUGGCCGCAGAGGCUGCCUGUGCCCCCCAUCCCUGUACCACAGACCCAGGGCCUCCCCCGUGGCUGCAUUUCCUCCACGGGCAAUCCGGUCUCCUUUCUCGGCCAGCCGGUCUCCUGCGACAACACGCCUUCUGCUUUGGCCUCCCGGGGCCUGCGUGCGGCCACCGCAGCCCUCCAGGCUCUGUGACAGGACCUCUCGGCUUCACCUUCCACCCACUGGCUUGCCUCCUAGGAUUUCCAGGUUCAGCUGCAGGGCAAGAAGCUGGCCAGCCUACACCUCUUUUCUCACUAGGCCCCUGGCUGGUCUUUGGACGAGUAUGCAUUCUCAGUUUAAUGAAUUAAUGCUAAAAUAAAACAAGGUCAUGAGAUAAAACAUGACUUCCUGCAUCUUCUCACCAGGGGCUGCAGAAGGCAGUUCUUACACCAAAGAGGAGGCUGAACAUAGGCAGACGCUGCGUAUGAUGUAUCUGGCCCAUCGUUACGUGGCCAUGACCUGUAACACACACAAACAUUCUUAUGUGCCUUAUAGCUAUGUCCACAUUUUACUGCACACACACACAAAUAGGUUCCCUGGCCUUGAUUCUAAUUAUUAUUUUCACUUUUAUUUUAUAUAUUAUAUAUUUUAUAUUAUUACAUAUCCUUGCAAACUUCCACAGAAACUUACUGAAAUCAGACAGAACAUAAUAAACAGAAAAUCCACAGUCACAGGCAAAACAAAGUUAACUGCACAUUUUACCGGCAUUAACCCUACUUUGGAGGCCAUUUUU